rnacentral:rRNA from 1 species
UACAGGCUUAACACAUGCAAGUCGAGGGGCAGCAUGGUCUUAGCUUGCUAAGGCCGAUGGCGACCGGCGCACGGGUGAGUAACACGUAUCCAACCUGCCGUCUACUCUUGGACAGCCUUCUGAAAGGAAGAUUAAUACAAGAUGGCAUCAUGAGUCCACAUGUUCACAUGAUUAAAGGUAUUCCGGUAGACGAUGGGGAUGCGUUCCAUUAGAUAGUAGGCGGGGUAACGGCCCACCUAGUCUUCGAUGGAUAGGGGUUCUGAGAGGAAGGUCCCCCACAUUGGAACUGAGACACGGUCCAAACUCCUACGGGAGGCAGCAGUGAGGAAUAUUGGUCAAUGGGCGAGAGCCUGAACCAGCCAAGUAGCGUGAAGGAUGACUGCCCUAUGGGUUGUAAACUUCUUUUAUAAAGGAAUAAAGUCGGGUAUGCAUACCCGUUUGCAUGUACUUUAUGAAUAAGGAUCGGCUAACUCCGUGCCAGCAGCCGCGGUAAUACGGAGGAUCCGAGCGUUAUCCGGAUUUAUUGGGUUUAAAGGGAGCGUAGAUGGAUGUUUAAGUCAGUUGUGAAAGUUUGCGGCUCAACCGUAAAAUUGCAGUUGAUACUGGAUAUCUUGAGUGCAGUUGAGGCAGGCGGAAUUCGUGGUGUAGCGGUGAAAUGCUUAGAUAUCACGAAGAACUCCGAUUGCGAAGGCAGCCUGCUAAGCUGCAACUGACAUUGAGGCUCGAAAGUGUGGGUAUCAAACAGGAUUAGAUACCCUGGUAGUCCACACGGUAAACGAUGAAUACUCGCUGUUUGCGAUAUACAGCAAGCGGCCAAGCGAAAGCGUUAAGUAUUCCACCUGGGGAGUACGCCGGCAACGGUGAAACUCAAAGGAAUUGACGGGGGCCCGCACAAGCGGAGGAACAUGUGGUUUAAUUCGAUGAUACGCGAGGAACCUUACCCGGGCUUAAAUUGCAGAUGAAUUACGGUGAAAGCCGUAAGCCGCAAGGCAUCUGUGAAGGUGCUGCAUGGUUGUCGUCAGCUCGUGCCGUGAGGUGUCGGCUUAAGUGCCAUAACGAGCGCAACCCUUGUUGUCAGUUACUAACAGGUUCUGCUGAGGACUCUGACAAGACUGCCAUCGUAAGAUGUGAGGAAGGUGGGGAUGACGUCAAAUCAGCACGGCCCUUACGUCCGGGGCUACACACGUGUUACAAUGGGGGGUACAGAGGGCCGCUACCACGCGAGUGGAUGCCAAUCCCAAAAACCUCUCUCAGUUCGGACUGGAGUCUGCAACCCGACUCCACGAAGCUGGAUCCGCUAGUAAUCGCGCAUCAGCCACGGCGCGGUGAAUACGUUCCCGGGCCUUGUACACACCGCCCGUCAAGCCAUGGGAGCCGGGGGUACCUGAAGUGCGUAACCGCGAGGAGCGCCCUAGGGUAAAACUGGUGACUGGGGCUAAGUCGU